rnacentral:rRNA from 1 species
GAUGAACGCUGGCGGCAUGCCUAACACAUGCAAGUCGAACGGCAGCACAGUAUGUAGCAAUACAUAUGUGUGGCGAGUGGCGGACGGGUGCGUAAUAUGUAGGGAUCUGCCCUGAAGCGGGGGACAACCCGGGGAAACCCGGGCUAAUACCGCAUAAUACUCUACGGAGGAAAUCUGGCACGCAAGUGCUGGGGCUUUAGGAUGAACCUACAUCCGAUUAGCUAGUUGGUGAGGUAAUAGCUCACCAAGGCAAUGAUCGGUAGCUGGUCUGAGAGGAAGACCAGCCACACUGGGACUGGGACACGGCCCAGACUCCUACGGGAGGCAGCAGUGGGGAAUAUUGGACAAUGGGGGAAACCCUGAUCCAGCAAUGCCGCGUGGGUGAAGAAGGCCUUCGGGUUGUAAAGCCCUUUAGGCGGGGAAGAAGGUUAUAGGGUGAUAAGCCUUAUAGCUUGACGGUAUCCGCAGAAUAAGCACCGGCUAACUCUGUGCCAGCCGCCGCAGUAA